UACGAAGGGGGCUAGCGUUGUUCGGAAUUACUGGGCGUAAAGCGCGCGUAGGCGGUGAUCUUUGUCAGAGGUGAAAUCCCGGGGCUCAACUCCGGAAUUGCCUUUGAAACUGUCAGGCUCGAGUACGGGAGAGGUGAGUGGAAUUCCCAGUGUAGAGGUGAAAUUCGUAGAUAUUGGGAAGAACACCGGUGGCGAAGGCGGCUCACUGGCCCGUUUCUGACGCUCAGGCGCGACAGCGUGGGGAUCAAACAGG
rnacentral:rRNA from 1 species